rnacentral:rRNA from 1 species
GAUGAACGCUGGCGGCGUGCCUAAUACAUGCAAGUCGAGCGAACAGACGAGGAGCUUGCUCCUCUGACGUUAGCGGCGGACGGGUGAGUAACACGUGGAUAACCUACCUAUAAGACUGGGAUAACUUCGGGAAACCGGAGCUAAUACCGGAUAAUAUAUUGAACCGCAUGGUUCAAUAGUGAAAGACGGUUUUGCUGUCACUUAUAGAUGGAUCCGCGCCGCAUUAGCUAGUUGGUAAGGUAACAGCUUACCAAGGCAACGAUGCGUAGCCGACCUGAGAGGGUGAUCGGCCACACUGGAACUGAGACACGGUCCAGACUCCUACGGGAGGCAGCAGUAGGGAAUCUUCCGCAAUGGGCGAAAGCUUGACGGAGCAACGCCGCGUGAGUGAUGAAGGUCUUCGGAUCGUAAAACUCUGUUAUUAGGGAAGAACAAAUGUGUAAGUAACUAUGCACGUCUUGACGGUACCAAAUCAGAAAGCCACGGCUAACUACGUG